UCCCUCCCUGUGGCCCUGGAGACAGGUGGGUGAUGUUCGCGCUCCUGCACAGCAUUUCAUCCCUGGAUCCAGCAUAUCCGAUCAUCCCCACCCCGAGAACGAACCCCUAGUGCUUCAGCCCCUGCUGUGCACAGCCCAUGUCACCUUAGCGACCUGAGAGUUUCUCUUGGUGACAUACCAAGGGGUGGGAUUGCUGGGUGAACGGGCAUGGACACACUUUAUUCCAAUAAAUGCCACCCCUCGGCUUUCCAGACCGGCUGUGGGGUUCACAUCCCACAGGCACUAGCCGAGAACGCUCCUCCUCCCACGGCACCCUCGGAAUUAUCCACCUUCUGAUGUUUGCUAUUCCGCUGGGCAUAAGGUGGUAUCACGUUUUCUUUGAUUUUGCAUUUCUCCGCUGCACCCUGGGCAUGAGCAUCUCUUCACGAAGUCAUCACCCAUCUGGGAUUCUGAGUCUGGGAACCACCCGUGCCCUGCAGGAGGCUGUCAUACACCACGGCUAUCCGUCCUUUGUCACGACAGCCAGUCACCUCCAAACCAUUAUUCACACACUAGCCUCUUCCCGACGAUCGUCGCUGCCACAUUCACACUAAAUGCCCAUGCAUCCGUGGACGUGCAUCUCAGCCAAUUCCCUGCAGUGAGCAUUUGCACCUUGUCAUACCUAGUGGAUCUGCCGGCUCCCUCAUUAUGAUGCUUCAGACGGUUUCUGUCAUCCUUGGGCAUUUUGUUCUCUGAGUGAACCUCCCCGUCAGCUUGUCUGGGACCACGAGACACCCACGUGCCUCGCUUCUUGGGACUCUGGCAGCGAGACGGGAAGUGCCCGAUUCGAUUCUCAGCAUUGCUUUGCUCCAGAAGACCUUGGACUUAGUCCAGGUAGGAGGAAUCAAUUUCCUCUGCUGGCUGCAGCUUUGCUGCCAAGCACUUCCUGCGGUGCCGGUGCGGAGCUGGGCCGGGAGCGAGGAGCACCGGACACAGUCUCUUACCUCUGGAACCUUCCUUCCCAUGGUAGACCCCCAGGAGCCCAGUCCAGUUUGGAAGAAAGCACGGAAAGGAGCAAUUAUAGGACUGUGGGUUGCAUCAUUUCGAGGGUACCUGGGCCACAGGUGA